rnacentral:rRNA from 1 species
GGGGAAUCUUGGACAGUGGGCGCAAGCCUGAUCCAGCCAUGCCGCGUGAGUGAUGAAGGCCUUAGGGUUGUAAAACUCUUUCAGCGGGGACGAUAAUGACGGUACCCGCAGAAGAAGCCCCGGCUAACUUCGUGCCAGCAGCCGCGGUAAUACGAAGGGGGCUAGCGUUGUUCGGAUUUACUGGGCGUAAAGCGCGUGUAGGCGGGCUGGUAAGUUGGGGGUGAAAUCCCGAGGCUCAACCUCGGAACUGCCUCCAAAACUGUCAGCCUGGACUCAAGUAGGGGCAAGUGGAAUACCGAGUGUAGAGGUGAAAUUCGUAGAUAUUCGGUGGAACACCAGUGGCGAAGGCGACUUGCUGGACUUGUAGUGACGCUGAGACGCGAAAGCGUGGGGAGCAAAC